rnacentral:rRNA from 1 species
UCUAAGUAUCACCUGCCAGACAGGGAAACUGCGUACGGCUCAUUACACCAGCCUUAAUUUACUUGACCUUGACAACCUACUUGGAUAACUGUGGUAAUUCUAGAGCUAAUACAUGCACCAAAGCUCCGAUCCUCGCGGAGAGGAGCGCAUUUGUUCGCCACAAAACCAAGCCCCCAUCUGGGCGUCCAGUGCUGAACCAGAACAACUCAGCUGAUCGCACGGUCUUGUACCGGCGACGUGUCUUUCAAGUGUCUGCCUUAUCAACUUUCGAUGGUAGUGUACCUGACUACCAUGGUUGUGACGGGUAACGGAGGAUAAGGGUUCGACUCCGGAGAAGGGGCCUGAGAAAUGGCCACUACGUCUAAGGAUGGCAGCAGGCGCGCAAAUUACCCACUCUCAACGCGAGGAGGUACUGACGAGAAAUAACGAGACCGUUCUCAUACGAGGCCGGUUAUUGGAAUGGGUACAAUUUAAA